rnacentral:snoRNA from 1 species
GCACUGCUUUUGAUCCCCUGCCUUGCCUGCACUUGGCGCUCGGCGUCCUACUGCAGCGCCAGUCUGCACAUGCGCAAAACGGCUGCCUUCCGACCCCCCCGUGGAAGCGGCCUUUUAAACCCAGAGCAACUGGG